rnacentral:tRNA from 1 species
GUCUGGGUGGCUCAGUCGGUUGAGCAUCCGACUUCGGCUCGGGUCAUGAUCUCGUGGUCUGUGGGUUCGAGCCCUGCGUCGGGCU